AGCAGCCGCGGUAAUUCCAGCUCCAAUAGCGUAUAUUAAAGUUGCUGCAGUUAAAAAGCUCGUAGUUGAAUUUCGGGAUUGGCGCAUCGGUCGUGCCUCACGGGGUAUGAACUGGUGCAGUCAAUUUCUCACCUUCUGGAGAACCGCGAUGUCCUUAAUUGGAUGCCGCGGGGAACCAGGACCUUUACUUUGAAAAAUUAGAGUGUUUAAAGCAGGCAUUUUUGCUUGAAUACAUUAGCAUGGAAUAAUAAAAUAGGACGGCAUGGUUCUAUUUUGUUGGUUUCUAGGACCACCGUAAUGAUUAAUAGGGAUAGUUGGGGGCAUUAGUAUUCAAUUGUCAGAGGUGAAAUUCUUGGAUUUAUUGAAGACUAACUACUGCGAAAGCAUUUGCCAAGGAUGUUUUCAUUAAUCAAGAACGAAAGUUAGGGGAUCGAAGACGAUCAGAUACCGUCGUAGUCUUAACCAUAAACUAUGCCGACUAGGAAUCAGACGAUGUUAAUUUUUAAUGACUCGUUUGGUA
rnacentral:misc_RNA from 1 species